GGCUAUAUAUAUAAUCAAUAUAUAUAGCUAACAUAGCUAUAUAUAUUGAUUGAAGUAUUAGUGUUGGAUCAGGAAAAUUAUAUCAAAUGGCUAAUGUAAUUAAUGUAUAAAGGGAUCAAUGUAUACGUAAGAAUACACAAAGACUAUACCAACUUUUAUAUUAUCUAUAACGAUAUUGAUGACAGGAUUGGUUACCCCUGUAAAGUUGUAGUGGGUGGGUGUUGGUGAAAUCUGAGAGAACGUCAGCGUCGCUGUGUGGUGGACAGCUGCAGUGUUUCUCGGUACCUUUUUCUAACAUAUUUCUCAAAUGCUUCUGUUGUCCUGCACUGUUUGCCAACUCAACAGCUGCCUAAUUUAAUGGCAUAUCCUUAGCAAUAAAAAAAACGCAAAAUCUGACCAUGAAUAUGAAUAAAGAAGGGAUUGGUUUCUAUUACAUUUUAUACCGUGACAACAGGGUGAGAGUGACAUACCGCAGUCAUGACGUCAUCGAUGACGUUUCAGUGAGCUAUCCUGAAAGCGGCUUUACACCUGGCAAUUCCUAGUCGCCAAUACAGUCGCGACGAUCUAGCGGCUAGACCAGCUGGGUGCUCUCGGGAGCAAGUACGUUCACACGUGGGAGGAGAAGGAGAAGACGUAAUCUGCUAGUAAAUGCAAGGGCAUGAAUUCAUCCCAGACACCCCAAAAGGCUAGUACCAUAUCUUAAAACCACAAUGAAUCUGGUCCAUUAGCCUAAUAUUGUAGAAAUACUUUAUAGUAUAUCAUCCUAACGGACUCCUCCUCCCCCAAUUGGAAGCCAGCGUGACGUCAUGGCAUGCAUAAGAAAGCUGUUUAACGAAACACACGAGAGAAAAAAAAAAUCCUGCUCCCGUCGGGGAUUAAACCAGUGAUCAACGAGGCGGGUAUGCCCCGCCUUAUCCACUCGGCCACGGAGACGCCCUUCUCAUGAGGCAAGCUAGGGAAGAGUUGGUCAUCAGGGCGGCCGGUCAGCUGCAAUACAAAGUAUAGCCAGCGCAGAGUAAAUAAUUAUAAGAAAUACUAAGCUUUGCAAAGUCCUGUUCGUUAAGGUAUGUCCUUAGAGCAAGAGAGUUUCGAUAAACAAGUUUUGGAUCACUUACUUAACCGACGCGUCCUUGUCAUCUUAAGUAUAAACGUGAACGGGCUAAGUCUUUACCGACGCGUCCUUCCCAACAAACCAGCACCGUCGGCAGAAGGGCGCCCACCGUCAGCAGAAUUCCUGACGUCAAAUCGACGGAGGGCCUCCGUACUCCAACGACUUUAAUUAUCGUCUUCUGCAGUGACAUGCUGUAUGUGCGUGUGUAAAAGACGUUUUUAUUUAUUUAUUUUUUUUUUUUUUAAAUGUGGCCCUAAGGUAUCUAUGUGAUGGAUAAUGAAUCGAUCGGUCUUUCGAGAAACUGCAAACGACCAUGGGCAUAUAGUAUAUACACUUCUGUACACACACACACACACACACACACACACACACACACACACACACACAUAGCACAAUUAACAUUCACCAGUGACGUGAAUCCCUCUUCGAUUGAUUUUUUUGUAAAUCAAUCAUUGUGUUAUCAUUAUUAAUGUAUGUAAAUUAAAAUGAACUUGGGUACUUCGUGGAGUUCUAUACUCAUAAUGUGAUGCGAAAAAAAAAGUCGGGUGAUGUGUUCCCUGCGACACGAGUCAGUGUGCACUGUGACGUGGGCGGCAGUGGGUGUGUGACGUGUGUGUUUCUGUGCGAUAACGUGUCCGUGGGCCUAGGAGAACGCAUAGCCUACUGCAUAAUAUACCCAGAGAGACGAAAGGAGUCACAUCGCUGCCGCUUCUCCACUCCCGGGGCCCCUCCAUCUCGGACGUCACGAAGCCACGUCACCACCUUGCCAGUGGUCCCUGGGCCUCUCCUUCCAGGACUCCUUGUGGACAACGUGACGCUACGCCGGGAUUGCCAUACCUGCCAUGUGUGUUGAGGAGACGAUUAAAACGUAAAACGUUA